GUCAACUACCCCCCUCUUAUAGAAGAGGAGGCUUGUAGGAAUAAUCCUACGAAGUCUUAGUUGUCUAGCCUAAGUGUUCACUCACUACGUUGGAUUGCAUGUAGAAACCCAAAAAUGAUACCCAAGUUUUUGGCUCUUUC
rnacentral:sRNA from 20 species